UCAAUAACGACGGCCAAGCGAAAAGAUAUAUACCACAGUCGCGCAUUGAGGGUAACAAUUUUCGGUUCGAAAAUCGAUGUUCUCAAUUCUUCAACAAACACGCAUAUAAAUUUCUCAGUCAUGUCGGCUGUCGUUUCCGUGGUUCAAGAAAUCGGCCAUAUAUAAUAUUUCAGACAGCAAACGGUCUCGUUUGAAUCGGCGAUGUAACAUCGCCAAGGAUAAAGUUCUGGCUUCUCGGAUCUGCCCCAGAUUUGAUCGAUCGUUUCUCUGCAAAAUGCGACCGAGAACGAGAGAGAGAGAGAGAGAGAGGGAUAGUCCAAACUCAGUCGUCGUCACGUCGUCCUUGCGCGGAGUGCUCUGGUCUUCUCUUGUUAUAGGCUGACGCGAGACUUCCGCUCGGUCGAAACGCUAAUCCGCGUGACGACGAAGUAUCUCGCGAGGCGGCACACACGCUCCGAUGAACAAAUAUCGAUCGCUCGAACUCUAAUAAUCACCGUCGUCGCAAUGCAGACCGCACAAUACGGCGCGGCGCGCGCAUUAUAUAUCACACGUGUAAAUAAUUGCAAUUUGUAUAGAGCAGAUAAUGAUAAUAAUAAUAAUAAUAAUAAUAAUAGAAUAAGAAAAAUAACAAGAAAAAGAGGAGAUAAAAAAAAUAAUAACGACAUUACUUGACGUUACUUAUUAAAUGCCGUUAGCGUAUGGUAGGAAUUUUUCUUCUCUUCUCGAGUGUACUUUUGUUUGUUAAAAAGAACUUAUAAAUUGUCCCUCGCGUAAUUUCGAGAAAAAAAAAACGGCGGCUUCGUUCACGCCACCUCUUUAUUCUCGUCGUUUUUAUCGUAUCCUCUUGUCGCCACUUCGUGAAAAAGAAAGGAAACCAAAAUAAUUGUUCGCUAAUUAAAAAAAAAACAAAAAAAAACAAAAAAAAAAACAACCGGAGAACGCGAGGAGAAGCGAGGUGUAACAAUAAUUAGCUCUUAGACGUAUGAUGGAUCUAUGAUGUACAUCUCGUGCGAGCAAAAAAAAAUGACGAAGAUAAUAAACGGAAGAUAAUGGAAGUUGUGUGGCGUGCGCGCUUCGCACAAAGGAACGAGCAAUGGCGUCGUUUGCGAGAGCCUCGAGAUUUCGAAGUACAAACGCCAGAUGUAAAUUGGCUUUAGUGGAGAAAGAAGGAGAAGAACUGCGGUGAAGCGUCAUAUGCACCGGGAAUGAGAGAAUUGCACGGGUUGAAAAUUGCACCGCUGCGCAAAUUGCACGAAAAGAGAAAAAAAACCUGGAUGGCCAGCCAGCGGGAAAAUCUAACGAAGAAGAAGAUCAUGAUCAUGGUAUGCCUCGCCAUAUUGGGCGUUGUCGUCGCGACCACCAUCGGUGGAUACUUCGGACUGUGAACGCCAAAAUCAGAUAAAUCUAAACGACGUCAGCAGCACCGUGUACCUAUAUUUUCGAACCGCCAGCAGCGUCAGCAUUCAUUCACACAACCCCGAUACGUGAAGCUGAUCGCCGGAUUCGGAUGAGAGGAAGAUUGUCACUUUCGAAGGUGCCACCAGCGGUGCGCUUGUGUAUUAGCGUAAAAAAAAAAAACACACAUCACACAUCGCUAGAGAGUCUUCAGUCUAUCUUCACGCACGCUCCCUCCUCUUCUCCCCUUCCCAGUUCGGCACAAAGAAAAACCAAAGAGAAGAAUCGUCGUCGUUUUGGUGUCGGUCUCACCGUCGUCGUUCACAUCGCGCCGAUCUCCUCUCAAGAGUGUCCUCCGAUAGUUACGUUAGUUAGCGGUCGGAUGAUGUAAACCAAGAGGAGAGAAAAACAAACACGGAUAUUUCUCGUUCCUUUUUUUUUCUUUUUUGUCUCAAGUAUUGGCUCGAUCGACAGUUUUUCCGAUUGAUCCCCGGCUUCCAGUAGUCAAUCUCGGCUUGUAUUCUUUUCCGCGACGAAGCUCGGAGCGUUCGAACUCUCUUUUGCGUAUGCGUCCCCGUCACAUUACGCUUUUCUUUUUUCCUUUCCUUGUGCCCGUUCUCCUCUCACGCGGCUGAAGUGACACAAUCGACGACAGAAGGCUUCGCGAACAGGCUGAGAAAACCGAAGAGACCUUGGUUUCUCUCAGAGAACGCGUUGAUCGGAGAUACGCGCGUGCCGUUGAUCAAGGGGCAUCUCCGAUUGGCUCUCUCUCUGACACCACGUCGUCCUCGUCACUGACAACAGGACGGCUAUUGACACGAGGACACUGCCGGUGUUUCCCCUCCCUGCGCGCGCGCGAAUAUUCCCGCCGACACAUUGUCAUGAGACGCGCGUUGCACGUUAUCGCCGGAAACGGCGGUGCGUCCUUCGCGGUAUCCACCUCGUCGUCGCAAUUCCUUUCUCUACCCCCCUCUCAGGCCUGACAUCCAAUGGUGUUUUUCCCGUGUAACGCGAAGGCGAUAAACACGCGAAUCAGUGUAGCAUCUUCUUGAAAAAAUAUGACGCGCGACGUCGUCACACAUCGCUUUCCUUUCCUGUGACUGUGAUGUUUGCGCACACCGCGAAAUUUUGGGGAGUCACUUCUCAAACGUCACAUUUUGAAAGUGCGUUUUGCUCACCGAUAUCCGGUCUCCGUGUCUGUAUCCGCUUAUACACGAGAGAUAAACCGCUGACCAAAAAAAAAAAAACUUUGUAACGCCAAAUUCCGCAGUGAAGAUUAUAGAGAGACAAGUUAUAGAUCGUACAAUUCCCGCUAGUAAAUAUAUAUAUAUAUAUACAUAUAUCACGAUAACAUAUUAUUACUAAGUGAAUAGCGUACUACUGUAAUAAUUGGUAUCUCGUAUAGUACUGAUGAUUGGUAUCGGAAUAUUCGGGAUAAUUUCUAGUGAUUUCUAUAUGACACACACAUUUUGCACGGGAGGGGAGCCAAGCUUCGAGCGAGUUUUUGUGAACCUUUUUCCUGAGAAAACUAAAUGGAAAAAAAAAAAAUCUAGAAGAUUUUCGGGCUAGGUGAAACCGUUCACACCCGCAUAAAAACAAAGAAUAUUUCAACGGAUGUAUUUACUUAAGUAAAAAAAAAAAAAAAAAAAAUUAGCACAGAGUUAAGCAAUUAACCGCGAAUUUCUAUUUGAAAUAUAUCUCGACCAGCGGUUUAAUCCUCGGCUAUAUUAUAUAUAUAUAUACAUAUCACGCGAAUUUUGAGUGACAUUUUUGACAUCUCUACACUACACCUCUCUUGUAUCCGGACGAUCAUGGAGAAUCAGCUAGGUGACAUUUCUUCUCUGCAGAAAAACAUAAAUAAACGAAAACGACAUCGCGUGCAGUUUAUCGCUUGAAAAGCACCCGCGGGGACGGUUCGCGCCUAUAUUGGCUAAUCACGAUGCUCAUCGAAACUCUCUUUUUACGCAUACACGAGCGGAAACGAAAGCGUUCGGCAAUACAAAAGAUUAGAACAAAGGCCCUAGCUUCACGUAAAUAGCAAUCGAGCAAAGUUCGCGUCCUCAAACUCUUCUCAUUGAUCGCUAAAAAAUAAAUUGUGUUAGUCAAUGUCGGGAUGCAUCUAGCUCUGUUGGAAUCAAAAUUCGCAGUGACCGAGCUAUCGACGCGAAUAAUGUGAUCUUAUAACGGGUACAUUGAUCAGUAAAAGCUGUUAAUAUACUCUUUGUGUGUCUUGUUUGUUAUAACAGAAAAGGAGAGAAAGAGAGAGAGAGAGGAGAGGAGCUCGUUCGAGAAGGUAAUUCGACCACGAGGUGUUCAGUGAGAGAAACAAUCACUUCUUCCAGUAUUUCUAUUUAGCUGUAAUUAGCGGGAUAUCAAUCGCGAUAUAUAGCGAGGUGUAGACAAAAGCGAUUGCGUUUUUCUAAUAUAACAGACAUACGAUGUUUUUUCGGAAUGUGACAGAGAGAAGCGAUGUGACGAAUGUUCAAAAAGCAACAGACAACACACCAAAAAUUAAAAAUAAAAACAAACGAUAGAUUUAAUUGUACGGUACACGCGCGAGAUACGUGAUGACGAGUAGGUUCUCGUUUUUUAUCUUCUUUUAGAUCCACUAGAAGAGUCAUUCGAACGACGCUCCCGCGUACAUCGAUAAGUUCAACAACUAGUUUACUACAUUCGGUUUCGUGUUGCACAAAAACGCCAUUAGGUAUUGGGUAUACCAUCAAUGGAUCUUCAUUCACGAUUCUCGCCUUAAAAACCGAUAAUCAUUUCGCGCGUCUUCUGUAAUAUAUCUUUCGACGAACCCUCGGUAAAAUUCAAUUUCCCCGCAUUACAUCCUUUAUCCUUCCUCUGCGUAAACUUCUUUACUCGGUUCUUCUGCGAUGCGCCGCGCGCAAACGGCCGAUUUGAUUUUUCAAUCGUACUUACCGCACUGUGAUAGAAAAUUAUUUGUGAUUCCGCGUGAUUCAGUUCAGUUUUCUACGCGAUCUAGUACUUACUUCAAUUUUAUUUUGAUGACGCAGAUUCUAACUAACUUAUGUUGAUUUUCGAGAUUAAACUUGUAAAACAAAA